UGGGGAAUCUUCCGCAAUGGGCGAAAGCCUGACGGAGCAAUACCGCGUGAGGGAGGAAUGCCUUUGGGUUGUAAACCUCUUUUCUCAGGGAAGAAGAUCUGACGGUACCUGAGGAAUAAGUAUCGGCUAACUCCGUGCCAGCAGCCGCGGUAAUACGGAGGAUGCAAGCGUUAUCCGGAAUCAUUGGGCGUAAAGCGUCCGCAGGUGGUUUCCAAAGUCUGCUGUUAAAGACUGGAGCUCAACUCCGGAACGGCGGCGGAAACUUGGAAACUAGAGUUCGGUAGGGGUAGCAGGAAUUCCCAGUGUAGCGGUGAAAUGCGUAGAUAUUGGGAAGAACAUCGGUGGCGAAGGCGUGCUACUGGACCGUAACUGACACUCAGGGACGAAAGCUAGGGGAGCGAAAGGGAUUAGAUACCCCUGUAGUCCUAGCUGUAAACGAUGGAAACUAGGUGUGGCUUGA
rnacentral:rRNA from 1 species